ensembl:lncRNA
AUUCAAACUGCUUUAUCUCCAGCAUGGACCUGGCAUACAGUUGGCAGUCCAUAUAGGUUAAACUCAUCUCUGAAUCAAUGGAUGGAUAUAGAUGUAGCCCAGCCACUGGGAGCUUGUGAGGUCUGGGAAGGACUUGGAACCACCCCUUCAGCCAGCACAGUCCUCUCUGAGUCAUGGCAUCUUGCUGAGCUGUGAGGUUGCCCUUAUUUGAUAAGGGAACUACCGUAAAACACGAAUGGUAAAAUCUACACGGUGGAUAUUUGAGUGUCUACUGUAAAUGUCCUUCAACUUUGCUGUAGGUUUGAAAUGUUUCAUAAUAGAAUGAUUGAAAAAAUAUCUAUUCCUAUGUCGUCAAAAUCUUUCUAGGAACCUUAGGGUUUUAGAAAGUGGUCCUGAGGGACCACUAGUAAGUGGUGGGGGUGGGCAGAGGGAGCUGAAAAAGUUAGAGCUCUGGGGUCACCAAUUUCAACCAGAGAACGUUCAAUUUCAUCUCUUUUUCCUCUUGGAG